rnacentral:tRNA from 1 species
GCAGUCGUGGCCGAGUGGUUAAGGCGAUAGACUCGAAAUCUAUUGGGGUUUCCCCGCGUAGGUUCGAAUCCUACCGGCUGCG